UACGUAGGGGCCUAGCGUUGUCCGGAUUUAUUGGGCGUAAAGAGCUCGUAGGCGGUUUGGUAAGUCGGGUGUGAAAUCUCCACGCUCAACGUGGAGGGGCCACCCGAUACUGCCAUGACUGGAGUCCGGUAGGGGAGUGUGGAAUUCCCGGUGUAGCGGUGAAAUGCGCAGAUAUCGGGAGGAACACCAGUAGCGAAGGCGGCACUCUGGGCCGAUACUGACACUGAGGAGCGAAAGCGUGGGGAGCGAACAGG
rnacentral:rRNA from 1 species